AACAUCGCGCACCUGCGGGAACCUGCGGAAGGAUCAUUACAGAGUUACUACUCCAAACCCAUUGUGAACCUUACCUAUGUUCUGUUGCCUCGGCGGCGUGGUCAGCGCCCCUCUGAAAAGAGGACGAUGCCCUCCCGCCGGCAGCACCAAACUCUUGAAUUUUACAGCGGAUUACAGUUCUGAUUUGAAAACAAAAAACAAGUUAAAACUUUCAACAAUGGAUCUCAGAUCGGAAGAGCA
rnacentral:misc_RNA from 1 species